rnacentral:rRNA from 1 species
UACGAAGGUCCCGAGCGUUGUUCGGAAUCACUGGGCGUAAAGGGAGCGUAGGCGGCGCGGUAAGUCAGAUGUGAAAUCCCGGGGCUCAACCCCGGAACUGCAUCCGAUACUGCCGUGCUAGAGGAUUGGAGAGGUAGCUGGAAUUCUUGGUGUAGCAGUGAAAUGCGUGGAUAUCGUAAGGAAGACCAGUGGCGAAGGCGGGUCUCUGGACAGUUCCUGACGCUGAGGCACGAAGGCCAGGGGAGCAAACGGGG